rnacentral:snRNA from 1 species
GCUCAUUUCGGCUGUGCAUAUACUACAAUUGGAACUAUAUGGAUAAGAUUAGCAUGGCCCUGCACAAGUUCACAAAGUGUUCCACAUAAUU